rnacentral:misc_RNA from 1 species
UCUCCGUUGGUGAACCAGCGGAGGGAUCAUUACCGAGUUUACAACUCCCAAACCCCUGUGAACAUACCUAUCGUUGCCUCGGCGGUGCCCGCUCCGGCGGCCCGCCAGAGGACCCCCAAACUCUUGUUUUAUACAGUAUCUUCUGAGUAACACGAUUAAAUAAAUCAAAACUUUCGACAACGGAUCUCUUGGUUCUG